CUAUGUGGCCCUGGACUUCGAUCAAGAGAUGGCUGUUGCUGUGUCCUCCUCCUCCCUGGAAAAAACACCUGCCCUUUGGCCAGGUCUUCACUAUUGGCAAUAAAUGGUUCUGCUGCUCCAGGUGUUCUUCCAGCUUUCCUUUCUGGGUAUGGAAACCUGCAGCAUCCACAAAACCAAUUUCAGUUCCAUCAUGAAGUUUGAUGUUGAUAUCCACAAAGACCU
rnacentral:lncRNA from 1 species